rnacentral:rRNA from 1 species
GGAGGUUCCAGGUAAAUCCGGUACCUUAUUAACGCUGAGGUGUGAUGACGAGGCACUACGGUGCUGAAGUAACAAAUGCCCUGCUUCCAGGAAAAGCCUCUAAGCAUCAGGUAACAUUAAAUCGUACCCCAAACCGACACAGGUGGUCAGGUAGAGAAUACCAAGGCGCUUGAGAGAACUCGGGUGAAGGAACUAGGCAAAAUGGUGCCGUAACUUCGGGAGAAGGCACGCUGAUAUGUAGGUGAAGCCCCUGCGGGUGGAGCUGAAA